GAAAGCGUAGCUAAUACCGCAUACGCCCUUCGGGGGAAAGCGGGGACCUUCGGGCCUCGCACUAUUAGAGCGGCUUAGAUAUCGGAUUAGCUAGUUGGUGGGGUAACGGCUCACCAAGGCGACGAUCCGUAGCUGGUUUGAGAGGACGACCAGCCACACCGGGACUGGAGACACGGCCCAGACUCCUACGGGAGGCAGCAGUGGGGAAUUUUGGACAAUGGGAAACCUCCUGAUCCAGCCAUCCCCGCGUGUGCGAUGAAGUUGUCUUCGGGUUGUAAAGCACUUUUGGCAGGAAAGAAACGGCACGGGAUAAUACCCCGUGCAACUGACGGUACCUGCAGAAUAAGCACCGGCUAACUACGUGCCAGCAGCCGCGGUAAUACGUAGGUGCAAGCGUUAAUCGGAAUUACUGGGCGUAAAGCGUGCGCAGGCGGUUCGGAAAGAAAGAUGUGAAAUCCCAGAGCUUAACUUUGGAACUGCAUUUUUAACUACCGAGCUAGAGAGUGUGUCAGAGGGAGGUGGAAUUCGCGUGUAGCAGUGAAAUGCGUAGAUAUGCGGAGGAACACCGAUGGCGAAGGCAGCCUCCUGGGAUAACACUGACGCUCAUGCACGAAAGCGUGGGGAGCAAACAGGAUUAGAUACCCCGGGUAGUCCACGCGCCCUAAACGAUGUCAACUAGCUGCUGGGGCCUUCGGGCCUUGGUAGCGCAGCUAACGCGUGAAGUUGACCGCCUGGGAGUACGGUCGCAAGAUUAAAACUCAAAGGAAUUGACGGGGACUCGCACAAGCGGUGGAUGAUGUGGAUUAAUUCGAUGCAACGCGAAACCUUACCUACCUCUUUGACAUGUCUGGAAUCCCGAAGAGAUCGGGAGUGCUCGCAAGAGAACCGGAACACAGGUGCUGCAUGGCUGUCGUCAGGCUCGUGUCGUGAGAUGUUGGGUUAAGUCCCGCAACGAGCGCAACCCUUGUCAUUAGUUGCUACGAAAGGGCACUCUAAUGAGACUGCCGGUGACAAACCGGAGGAAGGUGAUGACGUCAAGUCCUCAUGGCCCUUAUGGGUAGGGCUUCUCACACGUCAUACAAUGGUCGGGACAGAGGGUCGCCAACCCGCGAGGGGGAGCCAAUCCCAGAAACCCGAUCGUAGUCCGGAUCGCAGUCUGCAACUCGACUGCGUGAAGUCGGAAUCGCUAGUAAUCGCGGAUCAGCAUGUCGCGGUGAAUACGUUCCCGGGUCUUGUACACACCGCCUGUCACACCAUGGGAGUGGGUUUUGCACGGUGAAGUAGUUAGCCUAACCGUAAGGGAGGGCGAUUACCACGGUAGGAUUCAUGACUGGGGUGAAGUCGUAACAAGGUAGCUC
rnacentral:rRNA from 1 species